AAUGAACGCUGGCGGCGUGCUUAACACAUGCAAGUCGUGCGCGAAGGAGGCUUCGGCCUCCGGAGAGCGGCGAACGGGUGAGUAACACGUGGGUAAUCUACCUAGGAGCGAGGGAUAACCUGGGGAAACUCGGGCUAAUACCGCAUACGUUGGUUGGGCUACGGUCUGAUCAAGAAAGCUGGCCUCUGCUUGCAAGCUAGCACUCCUGGAGGAGCCCGCGGCUGAUUAGCUAGUUGGUGAGGUAAUGGCUCACCAAGGCAUCGAUCAGUAGCCGGCCUGAGAGGGUGAUCGGCCACACUGGGACUGAGACACGGCCCAGACUCCUACGGGAGGCAGCAGUGGGGAAUAUUGGACAAUGGGCGCAAGCCUGAUCCAGCAACGCCGCGUGGAGGACGAAGGUCUUCGGAUCGUAAACUCCUGUCAGGUGGGACGAAGGCUCGUCGGUAAAUAGCUGGCGAGUUUGACGGUACCACCAGAGGAAGCCCGGCUAAC
rnacentral:rRNA from 1 species